AAUGGCAGUCCUUCUCAUGAAAUUCAAAUCUGUAGUUCUAGGUUUACAAGCAUAAUUCGUGUUGGAGAAGUUUCCAACAGACCGGUCGCGCAGCGUGAUGGCAUACUGGACAAGAGGCAGUUGGGGAGUUCUGUGACAGUCAAUUUUACUCCUGCAGCAAGUCAGUUUUCAACUUCGGGAUGAUCCAGAUGGUGAAAUGAAAUUGUCUUUCCGAGAGCGUGCCAGACAUGUUGUAUAGUAGGGGUUCCCAACCCUAUGACCGCGGGCACCAUGGCGCCCGCCGAACGUUUAACAUGUGCCCACCGCUGAGCGAUCACAAUAAAAAUGUUUUAGUUUUUCAAUAAAAUUCUACGUGAA
rnacentral:lncRNA from 1 species